GAAGGGAGAGUCUUUUCAGCGCUGAGGACUGGCGCUGAGGAGGCGGCGGUGGCUCCCGGGGCGUUUGAGCGGGCUCACCCGAGCCCGCGGGCCAACGCGGAUCCAGGCCCGACUGGCGGGACCGCCCCGGACUCCCCGCGGGCCUUCCUAGCCGCCAUGGAGGACGGCGUCUAUGAACCCCCAGACCUGACUCCGGAGGAGCGGAUGGAGCUGGAGAACAUCCGGCGGCGGAAGCAGGAGCUGCUGGUGGAGAUUCAGCGCCUGCGGGAGGAGCUCAGUGAAGCCAUGAGCGAGGUGGAGGGGCUGGAGGCCAAUGAGGGCAGGGGAUCCAGUUCUUGGUGGAGAAUGAACUGCUGCAGAACACACCCGAGGAGAUCGCCCGCUUCCUGUACAAGGGCGAGGGGCUGAACAAGACAGCCAUCGGGGACUACCUGGGGGAGAGGUACGGUCACCACUCAGCUCCUGUGGGGCCCCUCCCUCCCACCCCCCAGGCCCAGCUCCUGCCCUCACACUGGCAGCUCACAGGUGGAACAGCCCUG
rnacentral:sRNA from 1 species